rnacentral:rRNA from 1 species
CCUACGGGCGGCAGCAGUGAGGAAUAUUGGUCAAUGGACGAGAGUCUGAACCAGCCAAGUAGCGUGAAGGAUGACUGCCCUAUGGGUUGUAAACUUCGUUUAUAUGGGAAUAAAAUGUUCCACGUGUGGGAUUUUGUAUGUACCAUAUGAAUAAGGAUCGGCUAACUCCGUGCCAGCAGCCGCGGUAAUACGGAGGAUCCGAGCGUUAUCCGGAUUUAUUGGGUUUAAAGGGAGCGUAGGUGGAUUGUUAAGUCAGUUGUGAAAGUUUGUGGCUCAACCGUAAAAUUGCAGUUGAAACUGGCAGUCUUGAGUACAGUAGAGGUGGGCGGAAUUCGUGGUGUAGCGGUGAAAUGCUUAGAUAUCACGAAGAACUCCGAUUGCGAAGGCAGUUCACUGGACUGCAACUGACACUGAGGCUCGAAAGUGUGGGUAUCAAACAGGAUUAGAUACCCGGGUAGUC